AUGGUUGUAGAUUAUCGUGCGUUGAAUGAGGUGACGAUCAAGAACAAGUACCCUCUGCCGAUGAUCAAUGAUUUGUUUGACCAGCUACAAGGAGCAAAAGUUUUCUCAAAGAUCGAUCUUCGAUCAGGAUAUCACCAGCUGAAGAUUCGAGAACAGGAUAUACCCAAGACAGCUUUUACCACGAGAUAUGGGCUUUAUGAGUACACGGUCAUGUAUUUUGGUUUGACUAACGCCCCUGCCUAUUUUAUGAGUAUGAUGAAUAAGGUAUUCAUGGAGUUCUUGGAUAAGUUUUUUGUGGUAUUCAUUGAUGACAUAUUGAUUUACUCGAAGAAUGAAGAAGAACACAAGGAACAUUUGCGCUUGGUUCUAGAGAAGCUCAGGGAACAUCAAUUAUACGCAAAGUUCAGCAAGUGCGAAUUCUGGUUGAAGGAAGUCAGAUUUCUCGGACAUAUUAUAUCAGGAGAAGGAAUAGCAGUAGACCCCUCCAAGGUUGAAGCCGUCACCGAAUGGAAGGCACCCACCUCAGUCGGAGAGAUUCGUUGUUUUCUUGGACUCGCGGGAUAUUAUCGGAGGUUUAUUGAGAAUUUCUCCAAGAUCGCGAAGCCCAUGACGGAGUUAUUGAAGAAAGACACUAAGUUU
rnacentral:rRNA from 1 species